UUGCUCACUUUGGCAACACAGAGAUGAAAAUUGAAAUAAUAAAGAGAAGAUUAGCAUGGCCCCGGCACAAGGAUGACACAUAAAACUGUGAAGUGCCACAUAUUUCA
ensembl:snRNA U6 U6 spliceosomal RNA